AUUUGGUUUGUACAUUUGACCCCUCAUUGUUAUUAGUUGUCUUUUACUAAAUCAGCAGAAGGAGAGAGGAGAGCAAUAACUAUUAUUAAGCUAAUAAUGAUUAUCAGGACCAAACAUAGUUAUUGAUGGCUUCUCCAUCCUUUCAUGUGUGUGUGCUCCGGGUAAUACUGAUGUGCUACUUCUGUUAUUGGGCAUGAACUUUCUGUGACCUAUCAUUUAUCAUCAGAUGAAGUUCUGCCUAGCCUAAUAGGUACAUUACGUAACAGAGCUCUCUGGUGGUGAAAGGAAUCCACUUAAACCACUGAAGUGCUAGGGUUUCAUAUGGGGGAUAGAGUGUUCAUUCUCUUUACUUGUAACAGAGACUUAGAGGGAACUAUAUGAACAUUCACCUUGGAGAAAACUGUUGAUGAAGCCAGACAGGGCUGAUCACGGAGUACUUUGGGAAGGGCUGCAAACCUGAGAAACACAGAGGCAAGAGGAACCCCUCAAAAUACCAGUGAUACAAUUAUCAGACAAGGGAUCUCUGGAUUUUCAGGCUUUGAACAUCAUAGGUCCCUGAAGACUAUAGGCCAGAAGCAUUUGCCUGUGGGUAAUUAUGUCUGUUUGAUGUGCACAAGCAAGAAAGAAGAAAAGAAUUCACAGGAUGCUGAGUAGAAGGCAGAGCAUCUGCAGCCCUGAGGUUCAUCGUAAGGAGUCUCCUGAAGGCAAUCCUAAGGAAUUGGGAAGGUUGGGAGGGAGGUGCUGGGGAUCGAUCACCUGAGAGCCAGACUCCCUGGCUGUGGGAUUCUCUAGUCUUUCUGGGGCUUCCUGAGUAGUUUAAACUGCAGAAAUAAAUUUAUUUACUCUAUAUUUAA